AUUGAACGCUGGCGGCAGGCCUAACACAUGCAAGUCGAGCGGAUGAAGAGAGCUUGCUCUCUGAUUUAGCGGCGGACGGGUGAGUAAUGCCUAGGAAUCUGCCUGGUAGUGGGGGAUAACGUCCGGAAACGGGCGCUAAUACCGCAUACGUCCUACGGGAGAAAGCAGGGGACCUUCGGGCCUUGCGCUAUCAGAUGAGCCUAGGUCGAAUUAGCUAGUUGGUGAGGUAAUGGCUCACCAAGGCUACGAUCCGUAACUGGUCUGAGAGGAUGAUCAGUCACACUGGAACUGAGACACGGUCCAGACUCCUACGGGAGGCAGCAGUGGGGAAUAUUGGACAAUGGGCGAAAGCCUGAUCCAGCCAUGCCGCGUGUGUGAAGAAGGUCUUCGGAUUGUAAAGCACUUUAAGUUGGGAGGAAGGGCAGUAAGUUAAUACCUUGCUGUUUUGACGUUACCGACAGAAUAAGCACCGGCUAACUUCGUGCCAGCAGCCGCGGUAACAC
rnacentral:rRNA from 1 species